GAUGAAGAACGUAGCGAAAUGCGAUAAGUAAUGUGAAUUGCAGAAUUCAGUGAAUCAUCGAAUCUUUGAACGCACAUUGCGCCCCUUGGUAUUCCGAGGGGCAUGCCUGUUCGAGCGUCAUUAUAACCCCUCAAGCUCAGCUUGGUGUUGGGGCCUGCCGCACGGGCAGCCCUUAAAAUCAGUGGCGGUGCCAUCUGGCUCUAAGCGUAGUAAUUCUUCUCGCUAUAGAGUCCCGGUGGAUGCUUGCCAUUAACCCCCAAUUUUCUAUGGUUGACCUCGCAUCAGGUAGGGAUACCCGCUGAACUUAAGCAUAUCAAUAAGCGGAGGA
rnacentral:misc_RNA from 1 species